GACGAACGCUGGCGGCGUGCUUAACACAUGCAAGUCGAACGGAAAGGCCCUGCUUUUGUGGGGUGCUCGAGUGGCGAACGGGUGAGUAACACGUGAGUAACCUGCCCUUGACUUUGGGAUAACUUCAGGAAACUGGGGCUAAUACCGGAUAGGAGCUCCUGCUGCAUGGUGGGGGUUGGAAAGUUUCGGCGGUUGGGGAUGGACUCGCGGCUUACCAGCUUGUUGGUGGGGUAGUGGCUUACCAAGGCUUUGACGGGUAGCCGGCCUGAGAGGGUGACCGGGCACAUUGGGACUGCGGUACGGCCCAGACUCCUACGGGAGGCAGCAGUGGGGAGUCUUGCACAAUGGGCGGAAGCCUGAUGCAGCAACGCCGCGUGCGGGAUGACGGCCUUCGGGUUGUAAACCGCUUUCGCCUGUGACGAAGCGUGAGUGACGGUAAUGGGUAAAGAAGCACCGGCUAACUAUGUG
rnacentral:rRNA from 1 species